rnacentral:lncRNA from 1 species
UGGAAUGUCUCGAGAAACAAUCUUCACUUGUCCUCCACUUACGUAAAGCCUAAGCGCUUGAACGGGUUAUCACCAAGUCGGAGAGAUGGAUCAAACCCAAGCGGUAUAGGACGUCUACGUUCUUCAGUCGUCCUCCACUUACGUAAAGCCUAAGCGCUUGAGCGGGUUAUCACCAAGUCGGAGAGAUGGAUCAAACCCAAGCGGUAUAGGACGUCUACGUUCUUCAGUCGUCCUCCACUUACGUAAAGCCUAAGCGCUUGAGCGGGUUAUCACCAAGUCGGAGAGAUGGAUCAAACCCAAGCGGUAUAGGACGUCUACGUUCUUCACUUGUCCUCCACUUACGUAAAGCCUAAGCGCUUGAGCGGGUUAUCACCAAGUCGGAGAGAUGGAUCAAACCCAAGCGGUAUAGGACGUCUACGUUCUUCACUUGUCCUCCACUUACGUAAAGCCUAAGCGCUUGAGCGGGUUAUCACCAAGUCGGAGAGAUGGAUCAAACCCAAGCGGUAUAGGACGUCUACGUUCUUCACUCGUCCUCCACUUACGUAAAGCCUAAGCGCUUGAGCGGGUUAUCACCAAGUCGGAGAGAUGGAUCAAACCCAAGCGGUAUAGGACGUCUACGUUCUUCACUCGUCCUCCACUUACGUAAAGCCU